CGGGUCUAGUGGCGCACGGGUGCGUAACGCGUGGGAAUCUGCCCUUAGGUACGGAAUAACUCAGAGAAAUUUGUGCUAAUACCGUAUGAUGUCGAAAGACCAAAGAUUUAUCGCCUAAGGAUGAGCCCGCGUAAGAUUAGCUUGUUGGUGAGGUAAAAGCUCACCAAGGCGACGAUCUUUAGCUGGUCUGAGAGGAUGAUCAGCCACACUGGGACUGAGACACGGCCCAGACUCCUACGGGAGGCAGCAGUGGGGAAUAUUGGACAAUGGGCGAAAGCCUGAUCCAGCAAUGCCGCGUGAGUGAUGAAGGCCUUAGGGUUGUAAAGCUCUUUUACCAGGGAUGAUAAUGACAGUACCUGGAGAAUAAGCUCCGGCUAACUCCGUGCCAGCAGCCGCGGUAAUACGGAGGGAGCUAGCGUUGUUCGGAAUUACUGGGCGUAAAGCGUACGUAGGCGGUUAUUCAAGUCAGAGGUGAAAGCCUGGAGCUCAACUCCAGAACUGCCUUUGAAACUAGAUAGCUAGAAUCUUGGAGAGGUUAGUGGAAUUCCGAGUGUAGAGGUGAAAUUCGUAGAUAUUCGGAAGAACACCAGUGGCGAAGGCGACUAACUGGACAAGUAUUGACGCUGAGGUACGAAAGCGUGGGGAGCAAACAGGAUUAGA
rnacentral:rRNA from 1 species